AAUUCCUAGAUUCGUCCCAAAAUCUGGGACGAAUCAAAGAUUCGUCCCAAAAAAUAAGCAAUGGAAAGAAAUUUUUUAAUUUAUAAGUUAACCCUAAAUCUCCUCCCACCCAUCUGCCCCUUCACUCAUCCCUUCACUACAACUCUUGCGGCGGCUGAUUCCUUCCCGAUCGGCUGCGGCACAGGUUUCAAUUUGGCAUGAUCUCAGUGUAGUUGAAGACAACUGUAUUUGUUCACGUCUUUUCGGUAAAAUGCAGAAUGAGCGAAGUUGGAUGUAUAACAAGAAUUCAAGUAUAAUGCAGAAUGAGGAAGAGGAGGAGGAGGAGGAGGAGGAGGAUGAUAAUCAUAAUGAUGACUUUAAUUUUUGACGAUGGGGUUGGUGAGGCGAACUAAAGGUCCGAGAAAAAAAGUAAGUAUUAAGUAACAUGUUAAACUUUUAAUUUUAUUUAUUUAUUUAUUUAUUUUCUAAUUGCUUUUAAUUUAUUGAAAUUUAUUACUACUGCUUUAUUAGUUCAAAUUGCAAAUUAUGAUUAGAGUUUACCUAACAACCAAGUAACCAUGAUUACUAAAACACUUGUAUCACAAAAAAAUUAAGUUUAAUUAGUUUGUGUUUUCUUCAUUUGAGCUAUUUUCAUAUGUUAGGAAAUUUUAAGAAUAUCUUUCAUGCUCUCCAUGUGAUCACAUGGACAUAGAAUAUUUGUAGCUAUUGAUUGAUAUGGUGAAAUAGGUAUUAUUAUAACAAUUUGAUGUGCCAUUUAUAUUAGGUUGUAUCAUAUUUACGAUGUUUUUACUUAGCUUCAAGAUACUUCUUAUAAUUUUAUGACAUGGAUGGUUCAUAUCGUUGGUAAAUAGGACAUUUAUUUGAAUGUUUAAGGAAUUUCACAGUUAUGUCUUGUUUCCAAUCUUUCUUGUUACAUGGGCAUUUCGUAUU